rnacentral:lncRNA from 1 species
UCAUUAGGGACUUGGAAUGUUGGGAGACAUUAUGCCAUGGGAACAGGGCAUAACACAAACACCCAAAAACUAUGAAGAAGAGGGCAAGACUUCCAUGGACCGAUUUAACACAUAUUUUCAAUCACUUUAAAAGCAUCUAUUUUUUAUUCAUCAGAGGUGAACAAAUAACUUAAACCAGUAUUUAUCUGUAUUCUCACCGAAUUUUCCUCACCUGUGUACCCUAUUCAGUCCUCAUAGCUAUCCUGCCAUCUGGGUUUUACCCUCCUCAUUUUACUUACAAUGAAAAUAAGACCCAGCAAAAUUAAGUGACUUUGCCUGGCAUUAUGGAGUCAGAAUGACUCUCCUCUGGAAAGAUGGGUAGACAGGUAAAUAAUAUAUUGCAAGUUAGAAUAGUAUACAACCUUGAAGUUUCAAUCAAAAAAUAUUCUAGGCUGGGCGCAGCGGCUCACGCAUGUAUCCCAGCACUUUGGGAGGCUGAGGCAGGUGGAUCACUUGAGGUCAGGAGUUCAAGAACAGCAUGGCCAACGUGGUGAAACCCAACCCCGUUUUUACUAAAAAUACAAAAAUUAGCCAGAUAUGGUGGCAGGUACCUGUAAUCCCAGCUACUGUGGAGGCUGAGUUGAUUUGGGGUGGAGAGUUCUGUAGAUGUCUAUUAGGUCUGCUUGGUCCAAA